AAAAACAUGUCCUUUUGUUUAUUUAUUUAAAGUCUGACCUGCCCAAUGAGGAAUUGAAUGGCCGCAGUAUUUUAACUGUGCUAAGGUAGCAUAAUCAUUUGUCUUUUAAUUGAGGGCUGGAAUGAAGGGUUGGACGAGGUAUUAACUUUCUUUGAUUUAAUGAGGAGAAUUUAAUUUUUGAGUUAAAAAGCUUAAAUUUAUUUGUGGGACGAGAAGACCCUAUAGAUCUUUAUAGUUUUAUAUUUUAGUAAUUUGGGGAUUUAUUUGUUUUAAGUAGAUGAACUAUUUUGUUGGGGUGACUGUAGAAUUUAAAUAACUUCUAUUAUUUUAUUUCAUUAAUUAGUGUUUUUGUGAUCCAUAAUUUAUGAUUAUAAGAUUAAGUUACCUUAGGGAUAACAGCGUAAUUUCCUCGGAGAGUUCAUAUUGAUGUGGGAG
rnacentral:rRNA from 1 species